GGUGUGAGCUGUGGGUUCUAGGGUUUCAACUCUAGGUUUUGUGAGAAGAAAAUACAAGAGUGAGUGUUAGCCAAUCUUUCAUACUACCACCUCCUUGUAAAGCUUCAUCUUAUAAUCUAGAGGAGUCUAAGAGAUCCGAAGAAAGGAGCUUGGAUCAGCCAUCCAGAUCCUUCGACACGAGUUAGCACUCUCAUGAAGGAAGAUCCGAUCAGGGCUUUGAAUUGAUGAUCUGUAGAGGUUGGAUGAUCUGUGCGGCUGUUCGACAUUAGUGAGAGCUUUGUACCAUAUAUAUCAGUAGUAGAGAUCAUCGAUCCAUGAAAAGAUGAUGAGUUAUGAACUCAACCAAUAUGAUUUAAAGG
rnacentral:lncRNA from 1 species